CACCUGCUGGCCAAUUCCUUUAACCUGUGUGAGCGAAUCUGUGAAGUUGAAGUCAGAUCAACUGAAAAUGCGUUCUUGCAUUUUGUGGAUGGGCAAGAAAGUCGAGAAACACACUGCAGGCUAAUAGACUGUGGCAUUGGCCAGGAGGAUAUUAAAGAACUGUGCAUGGUCCUUGAGAAGAGUGGAUGUCUUGCAGA